AUUGAACGCUGGCGGCAGGCCUAACACAUGCAAGUCGAACGCGAAAGUCCUUCGGGAUGAGUAGAGUGGCGGACGGGUGAGUAACGCGUAGGAAUCUGCCCUGUAGUGGGGGAUAACCCGGGGAAACCGGGCUAAUACCGCAUACGCCCCACGGGGGAAAGCGGGGGAUCUUCGGACCUCGCGCUACAGGAAGAGCCUGCGUCGGAUUAGCUAGUUGGUAGGGUAAAGGCCUACCAAGGCGACGAUCGGUAGCUGGUCUGAGAGGAUGAUCAGCAACACCGGAACUGAGACACGGGCCGGACUCCGACGGGAGGCAGCAGUGGGGAAUAUUGCGCAAUGGGCGAAAGCCUGACGCAGCCAUGCCGCGUGUGUGAAGAAGGCCUUCGGGUUGUAAAGCACUUUCAGUGGGGAGGAAAGGGCGCUGGCUAAUAUCCAGUGCAGUUGACGCUACCCACAGAAGAAGCACCGGCUAAUUCCGUGCCAGCAGCCGCAGUAAGAC
rnacentral:rRNA from 1 species